AUGGCGCCGUCGCACAGGCAGGGAGGAGACCGGCUGAGCGCUCUCCCCGACACGGCGCUGGAGCGCGUCCUCUCCCACCUCGAGUCCGACGAGGCCGUGCGCACCAGCGGGCUCGCACGCAGAUGGCGGCGCGUGCACGAGGGCGUCCCCGUCGUCCACCUCGUCGACACCAAGACCGGCGAACGGAGCCGCGGCUUCGGCGAGCUCAAGGUCUGCUACGACCACCAAGUGACGAGCGCGAUCAUGGGCAAGGGCUCGGAGACACCGAUCCGCGUGCUGCGCCUCGACGCCUUCUACCCCCCGUACAACCUGCUCGACCAGUGGAUCGUCAUCGCCGUGAACUCCGGCGUCGAGGACCUCGACGUCGAGCUCAGAAGGCAGCUAAUUCUAGAGUAA
rnacentral:rRNA from 1 species